UCUACAAGUGCAAAGCAAACAAAAGUGCCUCUGGAGGCUGUCCAAGAGAUUGGCCACUAGUUUCUCUUGAGCCUUUGUGCUCAGUCUAAGCGGCCCUCAUUACCACGGUCUUGGGUUCACUUGUAGUCUUUUGGAUUCAAUUAGCUCCAGCGCCCAGGAAACUGUUGAAGGGCAUUUUGAUCAAGCAAGGCUUUGAGGGAGCGGAAAAGAAUGACCUUGGUGGGCAGCAGGUGUCAGCGAGAAGGAAAUAAUAUGCCUGAAAUCACCUGCAGGGGACAUAAAAUUCCCAAUUAAACCUCACAGUGCCU